GACUGAAGGUGGGGCCACAGAGGCCUCUCCCCUGACAAAUAAAGCAGAUUCAAGUAUGGGACUGCCCACACUUGCAGGCUUCCUCUAGCCCCAAGAAACACAAACUCCCUUCUCACAUCAACCAUAGAGCUUCUUCUUCUUGUUAUUUUCAGUCAUGGGGUGACACAGUAAUUAAAAGAAAAAAAUCUCAACUAUGAAUGCUGACAUGUUAUUUUGUCUCUUGUCUCCUGUCAUCUGGAACCACAAUUCUGUCCAUGUCAGGAACUCCUUCAUGUGGAAGCUCCUUCUACCAAUACACAUUGGCUACAGUCUGUAAUUUAUCAUGUGGCAUUGAGAAUUGGAGCAUCUUGCUUACAAGUGUGUGUCAAAGGCAGGAAAUGAACCUAAUUCUUCUUGACUCUAAGGUUAGCUCAGUAUCUAUUGUGCCAUGCUUCCAGACCAUGUUUGAAGAGAAAUUCACCCAAUUGAGUCUUCCAUCUCCCACCAGAUGCAGCACAGGACUCCUCUUCCCCUGUCCUGCUUGGGCAGCAGCCAGGCUUCUGACAUUGUACUUCUGGACCAGUACUCUUCAAUCCAUUGGCACUGGACUGACACUGGACUGAAUCCUGGCCGUCUCACUAACAAGCCUCUCCAUCUCAGCCUGGCUAUCCCCCAUGCCUAGAACUCUCUCAUCUGCACACUCUGACAAUUUACUUUCCUGGCUUCCUUUAAGUCCCAAAUACAAUUUCAUUUACUUCGGGAAGCCUUUCCUAAAGCCUUCAUUCCUGUGUAUAGCUAAAUUUGUUUCUAUUUGUUUGUGUAUUGUCUUCUCUAUUAGAUGGUAAGCUUGAGGGCAAGAAACAUCUAUUCCUUGGUGCUUACUGCAAUGUCUGGCCUAUAGUAAGCACUUAAAUGUUUAUUGAAUGAACAAAUUACAUAUAUAUAUAUAUAUAUCCCUGCCUAUUAUCUCUCUUAUUAGAAUGUAUGCUUCUAGACAGGGAAAGGACUAGUUUCCUUUUGUGUUUGUAUAGCCAGUGUUUAAUUAGUAUUAAUUAAUAGUAGGUACAUACUGCUCAUUGAUGAAUUGACUGAUGAAUUGAAUGGAAGAAAUUUCACCCCUCCUUUGACUUCCAACAUUUGGCACAUUGCUUAGAAUUUUGCCCUCUCCUCACUUCUAACAUUGUAUAUGCUUAACUAAAAUUAUGUUUCACAGUGUUUGGGCAAGGGAUGGAUUUGGUCUAAGGAGCAUGACAGGUAGAGAGGAUGAAGCACAGGCUUUUUAAAAAUUGUAUCUGUCAUUUAAUUCUUUAGCCACUUUGUUGACCCUUCACCUCAGGCAGGUGUGUCUGUGUGUGUGUGGGGGGGUAUUUGGUAUUCUCUCCAUUGCCUAUGUUAUCUGAGUUGCUAAUCUCUCCAUGAGUCCAAUUCCACUCAAUGACAGCAGUUCUAGGGAACAAGGGUUGAGCGAUAAGGGCCUGUUUCCUUUCUGUGUGUAUUUUUUCACUGACCUGACUGUUGAAAUUUGCAAGACAAGAAGGGGCUACUUCAAGUACAAUGAUGCCCUGUCCUUGAAAGGCACUGGAAGCCAGAAAGAACAAUGGGUAGAUAAACUUGGAGUCCCUAGACUUCAAGGUUUCUCCACUUGGUUAUUUUCCAAGCAACCCAUAAGUACCUUUUAGUAAAGUAAAUUGUCAGACAAUAACCACAGAAAUUUAAAGACAAACAACUUUGAAAGGCUUAAGAUCUCUGAUCAAUGCAAUGACCAACUAUGAUUCCAGAUGACUAAAGAUAAAGUAUGAUACCCACAUCCUGACAGAAUGCAAGAUGCAUUAUUUGGACAAAACCAAUGAGCAAAUGUAUUUUGUUUGACUGUGCAUAUUUAUUACAAGGUGUUUUGUUCUUUUUUUUUCCUCAAUGUGGAAUUGGGAAAAGUGAGAGGAUGAAAAAAGUAAUGCUUAUUCAUUUUUUAAAGUAAAUUAAUCAUGAAAAUUGAUAAUAAUAACUUGGAGUAUAUAGAACUUUUCUCAAGGAUGCUGAAUCAAAAAAGUGUGCUAAUAGUAUUGGUAUUCCUUUAGCAUCAUUAGAUACAAAAGAUUUUAGUACCUAGUUAGUGAGAAUAAUUCACUAAAAUAGGAAGCUAUCAAAUGGUUGUCUAGGAUGCACUUCCCUUGUUCCUAUGCUACUCCUCUAUGGGCAUUUCAGCUCUCCCAUCCCAUUUCCCACUGAUAUCCCAAUGUCUCUGUCUCUCUUCCACACCUAGCUACAAGUCUGCUUCAUGCAACUAGUCCUAGGAAUGGUCCGUGGUACUUUUCCACAGACAAAAAAAAAUAUUUAAGCACAGUCAUAUUAUGCUAAAUCUGUAGUAAAUGACCUUGAGGAUAUACAUGGUUUGACCAUGGAAUCUUUCACCUAUAAUACUAAUAAUUCCAGUUAUAGUUACUGACAUUUAUAUAGAUCUUCAGGGAUUACAAAGUGGUUUGCAUGCAAUAUCUCAUUUUAGUCUCAUUACAACCCUGAAAGAGGUAUAUUACUAAUCUAAUUAUCUUUAUUUUACAGGUGAGGAAACUAUUUUUUGUUUGUUUUUUGUUUUUGUUUUUAUUUUUUAUUCUUUUACUUUUGAAAAUUUGUAUUUAAGUAAUUAAUUUAGAAUGUUUUUCCAUGGUUACAAGAUCCAUGUUCUUUCCCUCUCCUCUCCAAUCCCCUCCCAUAGCCGACACACAAUUCCACUGAGUUUCACAUGUGUCAUUGAUUAGACCUAUUUCCAUAUUAUUGAUAUUUGCAAUAGAGUAAUCAUUUAGAGUCUAUAUCCUCAAUCAUAUCCCCAUCAACUCAUGUGAUCAAGCAAUUGUUUUUCUUCUGUGUUUCUACUCCCACAGUUCUUUCUCUGAAUGUGGAUAGCAUUCUUUCUCUUAAGUCCCUCAAAAUUGUCUUGGAUCAUACAGGUGAGGAAACUGGCUCUUUCUUUUUAACUAUUUUUUUAAUACCUUAACCCCUUACCUUCCAUCUUAGAAUCAAUCCUAUGUAUUGUUUCCAAAAAAAGGCAGAAGAGCAGUAUGCAAUGGAGGUCAAGUGACUUGCCCAGGAUCAUACAUCUAGGAAGUGUGUAAGCCCAGCUUUGAACCCAGAACCUCUUGUCUCUAGUCCUGGCUCUCAAUCCAUUGAACCACCUAGCUUCCCCUCAAACUGGCUCUUUCAAGACACCCCUGCUGCUGUUAUCCCAGUAGAAUUGAACAAAUAAGCCCCUUUUAUACUAAAUAUAAUAAUAAUAGCUAACAUUUAUAAGGUAAUACAAUGGAUAGAUUGCCUAGUCCUGGAGUCAGGAAGAUCUGAAUUCAAAUCCAGCCUCAGAUACUUACUAGCUAUGUGACCCUGGGCAAGAAAGAACUAAUGGAGUUUGAGAACAGAAUGAAUUUUACCAUUCUUCACUUUAUUUCCUCCAAAUGACAUGUAACUUCUUUUACAAUAUGAUGAACAUGGAAAAAUUGUAGGAUAAGAUACAUACAACCUAUAUCAGUGAUGGCAAACCUUUUAGAGACAGAGUGUCUGGCCCUGUCCCUACCACACACCCCAGACCUAGUACCAUGCUCCUCCCCCUCCCCCCACAUGCUGGGUAUUCCCUGCCCCCUCCUUACCCCACACAGGAGAGGGAGAAAGUACUACCAAUGGGUUGCUAGACAGUGUGACAAGGAAAUCACUUUUAAAAGACUGAUAUAUAUUAAUUUAAGGUCGCCAAGGAAUUCAGCUAUGUAAUUCCUUAAUGAAAACUCAAGUCAGCCGUCAACCUUUUAUGGAGUUUUAAUUACAAACAGGAGGAAGAAAGGAAUUAGAGAUAGAGAGAUAGAGGGAGAGAGAAAGGGGAGAGAAGGGAAUAGGGCUUAAAUACCCCUUCUGUGUAGGCUGGGCCAAAAGGCCCAAGCCCUUAGAUAGCUGGGGAAAUGAAAGGAGAUCAGUCCCUAUUACUCACGUGACCAAAAAUGGAGAAAGAGUCUCUGGGGCCCCCACCUUCAGCUUCCUUCAGCGCAAGCUUCUCAGAGCACACCGCAACCACUCCGACCAAACUCCUCCACCCCCUCCAGUCUUCAGACCCCCCUAUCCUUAAGGAAACCAUCCAAGUUGCCUCCCCUCAGUCCUCACAUCUACCAAUCACCUGUCCAUCAAUUUCCCUGUGCUAAUGGAGGCUCUAGCUUAACCCAGGACCGCCCAGAGGUCUCUGGCUUUGCACAUGUCUGUUGAAGGUCAUAUUUUCAAAUAAUUAAAUCUUUGAUCCUUUGUUACAGCCCUUUCUAAAUCCUGUUAACCUGAGUAGGGUAGAGAUUGGAAUAAUUAAAUUUUGAUCUAGGCUGCAGCCUUUACUCAAUCCUGUUAGGACUGAAUAGGGUGGAGAUUGAUUCCAAGUAUCUCCAUUGUAUCAAUUCUAAAAUCAAUCAUGACUCAAAGAAAUUCCUGUUCUAUGCUUAAGCAUAGGUCAAAGUCCUUUCCAUUGUUCAGCAAAAGGUUUCUGUCCUAAAGUAAUCUUAAGAAGGGAAGAGAAGGAACCUCCCAUGCCAAUGGGGUUCACAUUCCAAUAGUCAAGACCCACUAUCAAUAGGAAAUUUUUCAAGUAUGAAAUUUCCCAAUGGUGAAAUUUCCAACAUUUAUAAGUCUAAGAAAUUUUGAGGUUUACAACAGAGAGUUGGAUGAAGUGAAAAUGUCCUCAGCAAGUGUUGAGAGGGGGAAGGGAGUAGCCCAAACAUUCAGCUCCCCUCCAGUUCUGCCUUCUGUAAACCGAAAGCCUUAUUUCCUAUGCGCUCCCACUGGGCUACUGAGCAGAGGGGAAGAGGCUAUGAAAAAAUAUCAUUAGGCCUAGUGGAGAGGGGGAAGGGAGCAACUCUGCCUGCAUCCCUCUGCCUUUCUAGUAACAAAUUUGGAUGGGGUGACUGAGUGCCCACAGAGAGCACUCUAUAUGUGAUCUUUGGCAUUCAUGCCAUAGGUUUGCCAUCACUGAUCAAUAUCAUAUUUCCUGUCAUCUCAGUGGGGAGGAGUAGGAAAAGAGAAAUAACAUGAAUUGCAAAAUGUCAGAAAAUUAUUUUAUACAUACAUAUUUUAUACAUAAUACAAAACUUGUAUUAGAUACUCAUAGAACAUGAACAGAAAGAUAAAACACAAAAGACUUGAUUUAUAGGAAUAUGUUGGCCUCCAUGAUGAUAUGCUUUGUGAUGUUAGGGAAGGUGGAGAGAGAUUGGGACACUAAAUGGGAUCUGUUAUGUGGAUGUAAAGAAAAAUAAGAUAAACAUAUAGGAGAUCUGUGAUUUCAUUUGUAUAGUAUCUUCUUUUGUUAUAUAUGGAAAUACUUGUUUGGAUUUGAAACAUUUAGAAUAAAAAUGGUUUUAAAAAUUAUAUCAGCGUAUUAAAACAUUAAAAGAAAGAAAAGAAACAAAGA